CACGUCCAAUUUGGUAGCGAUCGAGACCGAUCUGGAUCAGAAUGUUCGACCGCGAUUAGCUCCCUUCCGCAGAUUGAGCAAAGAAGCCAAUCGCGACCAAGAAAUUCGACCCAGAUCGGCCUCGAUCACGAUCAAAAGUACGCCGUGUGGCCCCCGUAUUAGGCAGUGGAAUGAAGUCGUGUUUGAAAGAAUAACAAAUGUAGCCUCUGCCACUACAUACGAGAAAAUAUUGCAUCGAAGAGCUAACAAUUCUCGCAACCUAUUGGGAAAUGUGCCGAAAAAGGUUUACCAAAAUGCGUUAUUUUACUGAUGUGUGCAUUGGUUCACAUUAGACUGAAAUGCCAAGUCCUCAGGUGAUGCAGGAAACCGGCGAAACGUGAACAUAUCACAUCGGCAGUGGUCUCGCGGAGUGCUGUGUUGUGGACACACUUAGUCCCCAAAAUCGUUAUUUUCCGCUGGUUGUUUGUGCACCCAUAAACUGCCGAAAAUGUGCCGAAAAGAGUUUACCAAAAUGCGUUAUUUUACUGAUGUGUGCAUUGGUUUACAUUAGACUGAAAUGCCAAGUCCUCAGGUGAUGCAGGAAACCGGCGAAGCGUGAACGUACCACAUCGCGGCAGUGGUCUCGCGGAGUGCGGCGUUGUGGACACAUUUAGUCCCCAAAAUCGUUAUUUUCCGCUGGUUGUUUGUGCACCCAUAAACUGCCGAAAAUGUGCCGAAAAGAUUUUACCAAAAUGCGUUAUUUUACUGAUAUGUGCAUUGGUUUACAUUAGACUGAAAUGCCAAGUCCUCAGGUGAUGCAGGAAACCGGCGAAGCGUGAACGUACCACAUCGCGGCAGUGGUCUCGCGGAGUGCUGUGUUGCGGAAACACUUAGUCCCCAAAAUCGUUAUUUUCCGCUGGUUGUUUGUGCACCCAUAAACUGCACAUGCUGGCCUGUAGCCUUUUGAUGAGUAUAUAUGUCAUUAUUUACGAGCGUAAGUCAUUCGUGACAAAAAUAAACGGAAACAUCGAAGGAAAGCUACCACUCCGCAAUGCAAGCGCAAGGCAAGCUCACAGUCCAGACCGAACAGGCAACACUGACACAUACUCUCCACGCCAGACCGUCGGAAGCGCCCUCGUGAAAACGUCUAU